AUUACGAACUACAACCUGUAGCGCCCCUUUUCUUAUCUAGACUUUAAACUCAGAUUUCUUAACAAGUUUUUGUUUCGUGUCUUCUAUUUCAAAAUUUGGUAAAAUCAUAGAAAAAUUUCCUUAAUCAAAAUGUAGAAUGGAACUUAGUAGAAUGAAACUUAAAAUAGAUAGCGGCUAUAUUCCACCUGAUUAAAAAAAUAAGAUGGAUUUUGAAGGUAAAGUGUCCUUGUUGUAUCAAAACUUUUGGAACUGGCGAAUGGAAACUAGUCCAGAAUUUGCUACAUUUUGUGGUUUUCACCAAUAUGAUGAUAAGUUGGAAUCUUAUGAUUUGGAAACUAUAAAACAAAAACAGGUUAGUGUUCAAAAAUUUUUGGAUGAGGCUGAAAAAUUAGUCCAAUAUCCCGAUUUAAAUAUCAAAACGAAAGAAAAUUUGGAGUUGUUAAUAGCUGAGCUCAAGGUGUUCUUAAAAGGAUUUAAUGCUAAAGGGUAUUACCUCCCUCUCAACUUUUUAGAAGGACCUCAAACUGAGUUUGUACGACUUAUUUUGGCUAUGAAAUAUGAAAGCAUUGAGGAUUAUCAGAAAUUAUUAUCAAGAUUUGCUGCUUUACCUGUCCAGAUAUCUCAAAUUAUUGACUUAAUGAAGAAAGGUAUAAAAGAAGAAUUAACUUUUAAUGCUGUUUCUGUGGUUACAGUCCCUGACCAGUUGGCUGUCUUAGAUCAAUCAGAUCUCCUCACAAAAAGGCCUGAAGAUUGUGUUUUUUAUAAACCAUUCUUAUCAGUACCUGAUUCUAUCUCGAGUAAAAAAAAAAGUUUACAAAGAGAGGCUGUUGAAUCUAUAUCUUCAAAUGUUAUGCCAGCAUUUAAAACAUUAAAAGAAUUCCUAGAAAAGGAAUAUAUUAAAAAAGCUCGCAGUUUACCUAGUAUAUCGACUUUGCCUGGAGGAAGUACUUUUUACCAGUUGUGCCUAGAUUUUCACUUGGGAUUUCGUUUGCUGCCUAAAGAUGUCCACGAAAUGGGCCUCAAUGAAGUGAAGCGAAUUUCUGGUGAAAUCGAAAAAGUGAUGUUGUUUUUAGGAUAUACAAAUGUUUCAAUUAAAGAUUUCACAGAACUUUUGAGAAGUGAUUCAAGAUUUUUCUUUGAAAAGCCAGCAGAACUUUUAGAAGCUUAUAAAGAUCUCAUAUUCAACAAAAUCUGUCCCAAGUUAAAAAAGCUGUUUAAAAGCAUUCCUGAGGAUGAACUUUCAAUUGAACCAUCACCUUCAGUAGAAGAUGAUGCUCCCAUUGGAUUUUAUUAUGCUGGCACUCCUGAUGGUGUACGACCUGCAGUAUUUUAUUUCAAUAAGGAUGUUAAAUCAGUACCAAAAUAUGAGAUGAUGUCUCUUGCUUUGCAUGAAGCACUUCCUGGUCAUCACUUGCAGCAAUGCUUCAACUUUUCUGUAAAGAAUUUUCCUGAGUUUCGAAAGUAUGUUGAGGACAGGAAAUACAGUGAAAUUCCCUCUCGGUUCCCACUUCAUACAGCUUAUGCUGAGUUUUGGAUAUCUUUCCCAAGAAUUGUUUCGUGCUGCUCGUCUUGUUGUCGAUACUGGAAUUCAUGCUUUUAAUUGGAGUCAAGAUCAAGCAGUAGCUUAUAUGAUUGAAAACACAGCCAGUUCAAAGAGAGUGAUUGAAAAUGAAGUGAAACGAUAUAUUACUUGGCCUGGGCAGGCUUGUGCAUACAAAAUUGGUGAAAUGAAAAUUAAGUCUUUAAGAAAAAUGGCUGAGAACCAAUUAGGCUCAAAUUUUAAUAUCCAGGACUUUCAUGAAGUUCUAUUGAACAACUAUGGUCCUCUUGAUGUAUUGGAAAAGAAAGUUCUAGAAUAUGUUGAUGAUAAGAAAGAUGUUUAAUUAUGAUAAAAUGGCUUUUAUAAGAACUUGUUUUUCAUUUAAUAAAGAGAUUUAAUUUUGUA
rnacentral:misc_RNA from 1 species